AGAUCAUGUUGUGGACAGUUCGUUAGUAAGCCUUUGCAUCUUUCCCUUGCCUCAUAAAGUGACUCUCCAGCUUGUUGUUCAAAAUUGGCUAUGGCUUUCUUCAAAUU